rnacentral:rRNA from 1 species
AUACGUAGGUGGCAAGCGUUAUCCGGAUUUACUGGGUGUAAAGGGCGCGUAGGCGGGGGUGCAAGUCAGAUGUGAAAUCUAUGGGCUUAACUCAUAAACUGCAUUUGAAACUGUAUCUCUUGAGUGCUGGAGAGGUAGACGGAAUUCCUUGUGUAGCGGUGAAAUGCGUAGAUAUAAGGAAGAACACCAGUGGCGAAGGCGGUCUACUGGGCAGUAACUGACGCUGAGGCGCGAAAGCGUGGGGAGCAAACAGGAUUAGAUACCCUGGUAGUCCACGCUGUAAACGAUGAAUACUAGGUGUGGGGGGACUGACCCCCUCCGUGCCGCAGUUAACACAAUAAGUAUUCCACCUGGGGAGUACGGCCGCAAGGUUGAAACUCAAAUGAAUUGACGGGG